rnacentral:rRNA from 1 species
AGAUUGAACGCUGGCGGCAGGCCUAACACAUGCAAGUCGAGCGGCAGCACGGGUACUUGUACCUGGUGGCGAGCGGCGGACGGGUGAGUAAUGCCUAGGAAUCUGCCUGAUAGUGGGGGAUAACGUUCGGAAACGGACGCUAAUACCGCAUACGUCCUACGGGAGAAAGUGGGGGAUCUUCGGACCUCACGCUAUCAGAUGAGCCUAGGUCGGAUUAGCUAGUUGGUAGGGUAAA